UACGUAGGGGGCAAGCGUUGUCCGGAUUUAUUGGGCGUAAAGAGCGUGUAGGCGGCUUCACAGGUCUGCUGUGAAAACUCGAGGCUCAACCUCGAGCUGUCGGUGGAAACCGUGGGGCUAGAGUCCGGAAGAGGAGAGUGGAAUUCCCGGUGUAGCGGUGAAAUGCGCAGAUAUCGGGAAGAACACCUAUGGCGAAGGCAGCUCUCUGGGACGGUACUGACGCUGAGACGCGAAAGCGUGGGGGAGCGAAACAGG
rnacentral:rRNA from 1 species